rnacentral:rRNA from 1 species
GGCGGCAUGCUUACACAUGCAAGUCGAACGGCAGCAUGGGAGCUUGCUCCUGAUGGCGAGUGGCGGACGGGUGAGUAAAACAUCGGAACGUGCCUUAUAGUGGGGGAUAACGAGUUGAAAGAUUUGCUAAUACCGCAUGAAAGUCUGAGGAUAAAAGCUGGGGAUCAGAAAUGACCUGGCGCUAUGAGAGCGGCCGAUGGCCGAUUAGCUAGUUGGUGAGGUAAAGGCUUACCAAGGCGAUGAUCGGUAGCUGUUCUGAGAGGAAGAUCAGCCACACUGGGACUGAGACGCGGUCCAGACUCCUACGGGAGGCAGCAGUGGGGAAUUUUGGACAAUGGGGGCAACCCUGAUCCAGCCAUGCCGCGUGAGUGAAGAAGGCCUUCGGGUUGUAAAGCUCUUUCGGCCGGGAGGAAAUCGCAUCAGUUAAUACCUGGUGUGGAUGACAGUACCGGAAUAAGAAGCACCGGCUAACUACGUG